rnacentral:lncRNA from 1 species
GUAGCUUCUCUUAACCACUAUCUGUCCCAAAACUAAAAGUGUAGCUUCUCUUAACCACUAUCUGUCCCAAAACUAAAAGUGUAGCUUCUCUUAACCACUAUCUGUCCCAAAACUAAAAGUGUAGCUUCUCUUAACCACUAUCUGUCCCACAUUUAAAGCUGGUGGUUCAACUUGGAGUAGUUUCUGUUUGGACUAUCUGAAUGGUUGGCGAUGUUUUGACUUUCGAGAUUGGAGGGUCAGGAAAAGCCAAAAAGUGAAUCUCAGCACCAAAAACAUUUGCGACACUCUUGGCUGUCUGUGUUGAGGUGCAGUACACAGAUUGGACUGCCAGAUGGGGGUGUUGUGUCGGCGGUAGUGAGUGGUUUACCCCUCUAUCACUGAGAUUCUCUGCUGUUGGCUAGACAAUGAAAUGUUCCACGUUUACAGAAGGAAGUUGUGGGCAGCGCUAGCUCCGAGCUAGUGUAGCAUGAUGCUAACGCUGCAUGAUAUAAUAGCUAAGAUACUAAUCCCCUGAUCUGCGGCUGGGGGAUACAUUCAUUGGAUGGAUGGAUGGAUGGAUGGAUGGAUGGAUGGAUUGAUGGAUGGACGAACAGAGAGCGUUAAUGAAAGAGGGAUGAUGUGGAAAUAACGUCACAGACACAGCAAGCUAUCAUUGGUCAGGAUGAGUUAUUGACCUCUGACCCCUGUAGUCAUCCAAUUGACAUCCUGCGCUGGUGUGGGGGCAGGGUCUGCCCAUAUGUGGACUAUAAUCAACUCUGUGUGUGUGAUGCACUGCUCCGGCCGUGGUUUUCUAGGAACCACGCAACAAACACAGACAAGUACAGUACGCUCUCUCUCUCUCUGUCUCUGUCUCUGUCUGUCUCUGUCUCUCUCUCUCUCUCUCUCUCUCUGUCUCUGUCUCUCUGUCUCUCUCUCUCUCUCUCUGUCUGUCUCUGUCUCUGUCUGUCUCUGUCUCUCUCUCUCUCUCUCUCUCUCUCUCUCUCUCUCUCUCUCUCUCUCUAACUCUCUAACUCUCUCUCUCUGUUGGUUUUAGGGCCAGUCUAGUUCCCUGUAGUAUUGGCUAAGGAUGUGUCUCAAAUGGCAGCCUAUUCCCUAUAUAGUGCACUACGUUUGACCAGAUCCCUAUGUGCCCUGGAUAAAAGUAGUGCACUAUGUAGGGUUCUACUUGGGAUGCUGAUUAAGUCAAUAAGUACCUAAAAUAAUCCUCUGCCUCCCUCCUGUUCAGUUGUCAUUAGAGAGAUGGGUUAGGAGACCAUAUACAGAUUCUAUAUUAUUAUUUAUUUUUAAAUCGCGUGUGUGUGUGUGUGUGUGUGUGUGUGUGUGUGUGUGUGUGUGUGUCAAGAAGAAACCAGCAGUCACAUCAUACCAACAUCUAUCUUCUGUAUGAAAACAAUCUAUUUCUUUACCACCUUGUUUGGUUUUUGCUUGUGAACUGGUCACAAGUUGGUCUAUGUCCCAAACCCUUCACCCUUUUCUAUAUGGGCUCUGGCCAAAAGUAGUGCACUAUAUAGGGAAUAGGUUACAUUUGGGAUGCAGACGUUAUCUGUACAUGUAGAAUAUUCUGUGGCUAUAAUAUUGUUAGUAUUAUUAAUCUGUAAAUGUAUUUCUAUGUUGUUGUCAUUUUACAUGACCUGUACUACUGACUAAAGGUGUCCCUGGACAGGAAGGAGGGAUGGAGAGGAGGAAGAGGCAUAGUGGAAGCAGGGGAAGUGUUUGAGAUGUUCUAGAAGUGAAAGACAUUUUGGAAUCUUUCUGUCCUCACCUUCCUCCCCCUUUUUCACCUCUCUUUCACCACUGACACUUGCUGCCUCUCUCUUCCUCUCCUUCCUCACCUCUCCUCCCUCUUCCUCACCUCUCCUCCCUCUUCCUCACCUCUCCUCCCUCUUCCUCACCUCUUGUCCCCCUUCCUCACCUCUCAUCCCUCUUCCUCACCUCUCAUCCCUCUUCCUCACCUCUCCUCCCUCUUCCUCACCUCUCCUCCCUCUUCCUCACCUCUUGUCCCCCUUCCUCACCUCUCAUCCCCCUUCCUCACCUCUCCUCCCCCUUCCUCACCUCUC